GAGGGUGCAAGCGUUAAUCGGAAUUACUGGGCGUAAAGCGAGCGUAGGUGGCUUGAUAAGUCAGAUGUGAAAUCCCCGGGCUUAACCUGGGAACUGCAUCUGAUACUGUUGGGCUAGAGUAGGUGAGAGGGAGGUAGAAUUUCAGGUGUAGCGGUGAAAUGCGUAGAGAUCUGAAGGAAUACCGAUGGCGAAGGCAGCCUCCUGGCAUCAUACUGACACUGAGGUUCGAAAGCGUGGGUAGCAAA
rnacentral:rRNA from 1 species